rnacentral:rRNA from 1 species
UGGGGAAUAUUGCACAAUGGGGAAACCCUGAUGCAGCAACGCCGCGUGAAGGAUGAAGGUUUUCGGAUCGUAAACUUCUAUCAACAGGGACGAAACAAAUGACGGUACCUGAAUAAGAAGCCCCGGCUAACUACGUGCCAGCAGCCGCGGUAAUACGUAGGGGGCAAGCGUUAUCCGGAAUUACUGGGUGUAAAGGGAGCGUAGGCGGCACGUCAAGCCAGAUGUGAAAGCCCGGGGCUUAACCCCGUGGAUUGCAUUUGGAACUGGCGAGCUAGAGUACAGGAGAGGAAAGCGGAAUUCCUAGUGUAGCGGUGAAAUGCGUAGAUAUUAGGAAGAACACCAGUGGCGAAGGCGGCUUUCUGGACUGAAACUGACGCUGAGGCUCGAAAGCGUGGGGAGCAAACAGGAUUAGAUACC